CACAGUGGAAACCACCACUGGGUGCAGGAUAAGAACAGAAGACGUCAGAUCUCAUCGGAGCAAGAGUCAGGUGCACGGUGAACAUCCUGCGCGGUGUCCUGAGAAAGGACAAGAUAAGAUAAGGAAGAGGUGUUCUGGGGAAGCAAUUGUUCUGGUGAGGAAAAGAGAAGAGAAACAUGGUGCAAGGCAGAAAGGAGAGGAAGGAGACAAACCUGCAUUAGUGAGUGCUCCUCCAUAUGCCUGCCUUGCAGACACGUAGCUGAUAGAAGCUGAGAUAAAGAACUUCAAACUGAGCAAGAUCUAAAUGCUUCAUUAACCAUUCAGAGGUUUUAACCAUUCUUAGACCAACACAGCUACAACACAGAUCCCUGAAACAUGGAAGAUACCGUAUUUUAGCCGUUUGGAAAAGUAAACUUUGUUGCUAACAGAGAAAGACAAUUUUUUUCACCUCCCUGUCUGCCUCUGACUUUGGACACCACCGGGGAAGAAGACAGCCUAAUCCGCACAUCACAGAGCAACACUCUCACAAAAGCACUCAGAUUCCCAGGGGAAUAAACUUCCACCCUCUACCUCCCCUGAGCAAAAUGGAGUUUCUUUUCUGCCUAGGAGGACUGCUACAAUCUUUGAAUGCUCCUCAGCCUAAAGAAAGGUGUAUGUGCCCAAAAGUUUGCAAAGAAAGGAAUUUUUUUUUGCUACUAUUUAGUUGGUCUAAUAAAAGAUAUUACCUCUGA